UGUAGUCGUCGGGUAGUACAUUCACUAGAUUUUCUAAUAUACAUAAAACAUUACACCAUUUCGAGUAGACAAACUUGAGUGAUUCUUUUAAUCAAAGGUUUUAGCUAGUUUUAAAAUUAUAAGUUUUCCAACGUCCACACAAUCAUAAAAUUUGCAUAUUAGGAUAACUUUGCAAACAAAAACAAGACGAGACGGGUAUUUUUAGUUGUGAUAUAACCAGCGAUCGGCGUGUGUCGUAGCCAAACCAAAACUAAACGAAUAUGAAACGAAAUAAUAAAUGUAAGAAAAAACUUUUAGUGUCAAGAAAAAAAGGAAGAAAAAGAAGAAAAAUGUUGACGUAUGGCAUCGAUUCCCUGUUGAACCAAUAACGUGGCACAUUGUGGAAGUCACAAUUUUCAUCUUUUCUUUUGAGCUAAAACGAUGAGAAUGUUCCAAAAAUAUGCAAAAACAAAGCUGGAUGCCAUUAUUAGUAGUAGUAGCUAUAGUAGGAUCGAUGUUCGUUUUUUUUUUUUUCUUUUUUCUUAUACAAGUUAGUUACCUUUCUACUACCACUUGUGUUUAUCUUAUACUAGCUAGUACUCAGUAUUGAGCAAAACUACCCCGUUUCAAGCUUUAUGCUAAAGCGUCUCAUAGUUGUUAUAAAGGAACAUUUAUGUAAACCUACAAAUCAUAUAAUAGUUAUGUAAGAUAAUUAACUUAUCAACCGGUUUCAAAUCUGACAUUGCAUACCAUCGACUAAAAAAGCUUCACCUGAUCAUGAAUUUCCUACGUUACCCUAGCUAGGUCCCAAACCAAUGUAAGUUUACAAUUAAACGUACAUAUUCUGCGUAAUUAAGAUGUGACCGGAUGUCCGGAUCGAGAGUACUAGUGAUUCUAAUGAUUUAAUAAACUAUUUGUGACCAAAAUAAAAAUAAUUCAUAUACAUUUUAAAUGUAACUAUAUGAAAGUGAUAACAGGUGUAUAACCUAAAAACAUACUUAUAAUCGUAGUUCGAAAACUUUAUUUAAAGUUUGAUUAUAGAAUUGUUAAACUACACGAGCAUCAAAGUAAAACCUUUACUAAGAUAAAUGGUCGUUUAAAUAACUUAACCGUAUAUUGUCUGAAAUUUAUUUGGGGGAAAAAAUACAAGUUGGUGGGUAGGAGAGUAGGAUACGGUCCGGGAGAAAGAGACGUGUGCAUGGGGACACGAAGACUGAAUAAUCUUUUGUCCUCAAGUGUACUACGUGGUUGCAUGUUUACGUGCGUAUAUAUAUAUGUAUAUCCGUAUAUAUAUAUAUGAUGUUGAUCAAACUUAUAGAUGAAAUAUAUAGAUGAUGAUGAUGAUGAUGAGAUCAUUAUUGGUCCUAUCCGGAAAACGAUAAAAUGUUCUAAAAGUAUCUAAACGAUAUCAAGUGCGUACCCCUACGUACGUACAUCCAUGUAUUGUUCGAUCUAUAAAAAUUGGUUUCAGUAUAUGUACAAGUUUUUUCGUUUCUUUUUGAAUGGUAUGAUCGCAUCAUAUCUCUAGAAUAUUGGCCCGCAAUGUCUAAUCCCCAUUUAUAAUCACCCUUAUUAUUAUGCAAUUUUUUUUGUUUCUUUUCUUAUAUACAAAUAUAUAUACUUUGUACUUAUAAGAAAGAUGUAACAACAUCCAAAUCGAAAUUAUAAGAUGGUAGAGAGAAAUUGAGAAUUUGAGAAAUAUCAUAUAUAAACCUCUUAAACAACCUUUUCAAAAAUACCAUUAAAAAGGUUGUUUAAAAUAUUAUUUAAACCUUUGUUUUAAAAUUUUAUAAUAUUAUGAAAUUAUAACUUUAGAAAGCCAUAUUUGUGGAGUUUUUGAAAAGAAAAAAUGAAAGUUUUUUAAACUGAUAUCAUAAAAGUUGCAUUUUCGAAAUUCCAAAAGAGAAGACAAUUAAAUAUUACAAAAUAUUUGUUGUUUUAUUUCCUAAUCUUCCUAAACCCUUAAAACUUUUAAAUGCCUCUCAAAUGACUUUAUGUAUUUUGAAAUAGCUAGUUCAAUAAUAGUUAGUAAUAUUUUGGAAACAAAAAUUACCAAAAAGAGAAAACACAAAGGCAACGACAUCCAGAAAGAACAAACAUUUCCAAUUAGGUUAAAGGAAGAUAGCGAGAGACACUCAUUGUGGGCAAAACAUCGCUUAAGGUGGAAGCAAAGGAAUCACUUUUCUCCUUUUAAAGGACCAAAUUUAAUUGGACGGACCAACUAAUUUACCAAAAAAUUAAAGUUAACUAAACUCAUCAUGACAUCAUCAAAAAAUAUUGAAUUCCCUAAUUAGGGCUAUGGAUUACUAGUUGAUAAGAGUAUUACACAUUUAUCUCAUUGUCUCUAGCGAUAUUAAUCACUUAAUUAAUUACCAUAAUGUACAAACUUACACCCAAACAAUCUGAUAUAUAAUUUCGUUUUUGUUCAGUUUCGAAAUUUUAUGUAGUUUAUUUGCUUAAACUUUUAGAGAUAUUUUAAUAUGGUUUAUAAAUCCGAUUUGCAGCUUCGGAAAUCUAUCUUAUUUUAAAAACUUUCUAUCUAGUAUAGUAGUAUACACAUAUAUAUAUAUAGUAUAGCUUAGUAGCUAUAGGUGCAAGUGUCAACAGUACAAAAUGAAAAAGUAUAGGCGUAAGUUUGUAUAUAUAGUUAUAUACAAUUCGAAAAACCUCAUGGCAUGGCAUGAAAUCAAUUUGAAGAACUAAGUUAUAAAAGACAGAUGAAAAUACCUAAAACGUUAGAGAUAAUAGCAUAAGGGGGUUUAUUCGAUAGAUUUGGAUUCCUAUUUAUCUAUAUGUAUUGUUUGUUUUAUUUUGUUAUAUAAAUACAUGGAAUAUACUUUCACCCCAUAUAUACGUAGCAUCAUAUGAUGUAACAGCUACAUCUGGUUAAUUAAGAACAGAUUUCAAUAUGUUUAUGGAAUUUAUUCUUAGACAAUAGAGAACAGAAAUCACCAAAAUGCUGUUAAAAACGGUUUAAUUAAGAUAAUUUGAUUCCUUUUAUAUUGCUGGCUUGUUGCUAAAAACCAUGUUAAAAAGUAAUAACUAGUUAACGCACAUAAGGAUAUCCAUUUAAGUUUGCACAAUUACACAUAAACAUGUGUCGUAUUCCCAAAAAAACGGUUUACCUAGUUAAAGAAAGAAUCCAAAAGAAAACAGGAACAAACACAUUGGAUUAUAAUUUAGGUAGUCCUCUGAUUCACAAAAAACUAUUGUCUUUAAAUUUAUUUUUGUUUCACAAAAAACAUCGUUUUAUCUUUUUAAUGUAAUGUUUCAAACUAGAUCUUUAAUUUAUCCUUAACUCAUAGCUGCUUUUUAUUGAAUUUUAAAACAUAAUUAUUUAUUAAAUAAGUAUACACAUGUAUAUAUUUUUUUAGUUUGUGUGAAAAAUGACAUAUACUAAAUUAACACUAUUUAUAUAGGGUUUUUUGCCUAUAUAUUCCCUAGUUAAUGCAUAUAACGAUACACGAGCUUAUAUAAUUAAUACCUAUAUUACAUUACUGGAAAAUAGAAAUUGCUAGGAAAAAAUAAGCUACACAAUAUUGGUAAAUUAAACAAAAGAAAAUAUUAAAAUAGUAUAGGACGAAAGAUUAAAAAGAGUAAUUAAAAAGCUGAGAUUACCAAAGAGAAGAAUCACGAAAGUGGAAAGCAACCGAAAGCUCGUGUCUUGUUGUUUGCAUGUUGGGUCCUUUUGUCUCUCUUUUUCUCUCUCUACGAAUAAUGUGAAGAAGAUGCUCAUAUACGUAGCGUCGUUCAUCAGAAUAUAUAUAAACACAAAUUAAUAGUAAUUUAACAAAAAGGUCUCGAUGUUGAUCCCUUUUACGAGUAUUUAUAAUUAAUUAGUAUGAACAAAAGAAACCCAAAAAACAAAAACAAAAAGUGGCCGGUAAUUAUAGAAUUUAGUAUUUAUGAUAAAGUUGCAUGCAUGAUCGAUCAAGAGAGCUUUUAGGGCGUCGAGAGAGAGAGAGAGAGAGAGAUAGAGAGAGCGCGUCGCCACAGAAGAAGAAGAGGAGAGAAUUAGACAUGGAUGCGUUUUGUCUCUACCUAUACACCAAAGGAACACCACUCAAUUUUCUAUUUAUUUAUUCAUUUUAAAACUUUGUUUUUUUUUUGUUACUCACCAUAUAUCAAAAACUC
rnacentral:lncRNA from 1 species